rnacentral:rRNA from 1 species
UCCACGCAGUAAACGAUGAAUGUUAGUCGUUGGGUCUCUAGUAGAUUCAGUGAUGCAGUUAACACAUUAAACAUUCCGCCUGGGGAGUACGGUCGCAAGAUUAAAACUCAAAGGAAUAGACGGGGACCCGCACAAGUGGUGGAGCAUGUGGUUUAAUUCGAAAAUACGCGAAGAACCUUACCUAGCCUUGACAUUGAAGAAACACACUAGAGAUAGAGUGGUGCCCUUCGGGGAAUCUGAAAACAGGUGCUGCACGGCUGUCGUCAGCUCGUGUCGUGAGAUGUUGGGUUAAGUCCCG